rnacentral:rRNA from 1 species
UGGGGAAUAUUGCACAAUGGGCGCAAGCCUGAUGCAGCCAUGCCGCGUGUAUGAAGAAGGCCCUCGGGUUGUAAAGUACUUUCAGCGGGGAGGAAGGCGAUAAGGUUAAUAACCUUGUCGAUUGACGUUACCCGCAGAAGAAGCACCGGCUAACUCCGUGCCAGCAGCCGCGGUAAUACGGAGGGUGCAAGCGUUAAUCGGAAUUACUGGGCGUAAAGCGCACGCAGGCGGUCUGUCAAGUCGGAUGUGAAAUCCCCGGGCUCAACCUGGGAACUGCAUUCGAAACUGGCAGGCUAGAGUCUUGUAGAGGGGGGUAGAAUUCCAGGUGUAGCGGUGAAAUGCGUAGAGAUCUGGAGGAAUACCGGUGGCGAAGGCGGCCCCCUGGACAAAGACUGACGCUCAGGUGCGAAAGCGUGGGGAGCAAACA